ACAUUAACUCCGCCUGUAGUUUUUUCCAGGGGCUACUGCCGGUCCCAAGCCUGGAUAAAGGAGGAGGUUUGG
rnacentral:ribozyme from 2 species